UUUUUUAGUUACCUAGAAAUUAUGUUAAAAACUGCCGUUCAAACCGAAAAGAUUAGCAUGACCCCAGAGCAAAGAUGACACACAAAUUUGUGCAGUGUUCCAUAUUCUU